rnacentral:rRNA from 1 species
UGGAUCCAGACUUUGAUCCUGGCUCAGGAUGAACGCUAGCUACAGGCUUAACACAUGCAAGUCGAGGGGAAACGACAUUGGAAGCUUGCUUCCGAUAGGCGUCGACCGGCGCACGGGUGAGUAACGCGUAUCCAACCUGCCCACCACUUGGGGAUAACCUUGCGAAAGUAAGACUAAUACCCAAUGAUAUCUCAAGAAGACAUCUGAAUGAGAUUAAAGAUUUAUCGGUGAUGGAUGGGGAUGCGUCUGAUUAGCUUGUUGGCGGGGUAACGGCCCACCAAGGCGACGAUCAGUAGGGGUUCUGAGAGGAAGGUCCCCCACAUUGGAACUGAGACACGGUCCAAACUCCUACGGGAGGCAGCAGUGAGGAAUACUGGUCAAUGGACGAGAGUCUGAACCAGCCAAGUAGCGUGCAGGAUGACGGCCCUAUGGGUUGUAAACUGCUUUUAUAAGGGAAUAAAGUGAGCCUCGUGAGGCUUUUUGCAUGUACCUUAUGAAUAAGGACCGGCUAAUUCCGUGCCAGCAGCCGCGGUAAUACGGAAGGUCCGGGCGUUAUCCGGAUUUAUUGGGUUUAAAGGGAGCGUAGGCCGGAGAUUAAGCGUGUUGUGAAGUGUAGAUGCUCAACAUCUGCACUGCAGCGCGAACUGGUUUCCUUGAGUACGCACAAAGUGGGCGGAAUUCGUGGUGUAGCGGUGAAAUGCUUAGAUAUCACGAAGAACUCCGGUUGCGAAGGCAGCUCACUGGAGCGCAACUGACGCUGAAGCUCGAAAGUGCGGGUAUCGAACAGGAUUAGAUACCCUGGUAGUUCCGCACGGUAAACGAUGGAUGCCCGCUGUUGG